GAUGGACGCUAGCGGCAGGCCUAACACAUGCAAGUCGAGGGGCAGCACGAUUGAGCUUGCUUAAUUGGUGGCGACCGGCGCACGGGUGCGUAACGCGUAUGCAACCUACCUUAUACUGGGGUAUAGCCCGAAGAAAUUCGGAUUAAUCCCCCAUAGCAUUAUCGAUUCGCAUGUUUUGAUAAUUAAAGGUUACGGUAUAA
rnacentral:rRNA from 1 species